UCUGUCAGGUUUCUCUUCAGGUUUUGUCCAGGGUUUUGUUCCAAGGAAACCUCAGAGUAUUUUGCUUCUCUUCCUUUUUCUCAAGUGAAGUCUUGGUAUUUAUAGACUGAAUUUCAUGGUUUUGUGGGCUCAAAUGAGAGAGACCCAAGUCCAAAAUUUUUUAUUAUAUUUUAUUUAUUUUAUUAUUAUUAUUUUUAUUUAUUUAUUUUUUUUGUAAAAAAUUAUUAUUAUUAUUAUUUUUUUUUUUCGUUUUAUUUUUU
rnacentral:lncRNA from 1 species